ACAAUACUCCACAGGAGUUAAAUAAUAAUACACCUACUUCUCGCGAAACACCAGCUAUUACCAUCGACACAGACAAGCUCAGCCACUCUACAGCAAAAAGAAGCAUUGAAUUUACAGAACAUGAAACUACAAACAAAAAAAGUGGAAAAGGUGUAGAUCAUCCAGCUGAAGAACUUGAUCCUCAGAUUGCCAAACGACCUAAGAAAGACAUUUCAGGCAAUAAUGUUGCACCAAACAUCUAACGAAGACAGGAGGAUAAACAAUAAAAUAACAUAGGGCAUCAUCAAACACACAUGGAACAGCUCAGGACUACAGUCGAUUCUACCUAAAUUAGUGAUAUUGCUACUUAUAUAAACAGUUAUUGAUC